AAAAAUCCCUCUUUGUAAUGGCCCCAGCAUUACGUGGCAGAACAGACUUUGGAAGGGGUGAUAGGAGUACCCAGCUAAUCGGUUUGGGCUGUCUCUCGAGCAGCCAUCGCAGGGCAGCAGAAGGGGGUAAACAGCAGGCGGUAGCUGUGGCCGCAGCGCCCGCACCCUCGUGGGACAAGGGAGGAGAAGAGGGUCACCAAACGUGCUGUCUCACUGUCUCCGCUUUCCCCCCAGGUGCUUAUACCCCGGAGCCCCUCAGCAGUUUCCGCUGGGCCCUUCUCUCGACUGGCCUCAUGUUCUUUUAUCACUUCAGCGUCUUGCAGAUCCUGGGCCUGGUCACCGAAGUGAAUUUGAACAACAUGCUGUGUCCGGCCAUCUCAGACCCAUUCUACGGCCCCUGGUAUCGCAUCUGGGCCUCGGGACACCAGACUCUCAUGACCAUGACCCACGGGAAGCUGGUCAUCCUGUUCUCAUACAUGGCUGGGCCCUUGUGUAAAUGUCUGCUGGAUUUGCUCCGGCUUCCAGCCAAGAAAAUAGACUGAAGAGUGGGAGCAGGAACUCAAGGACGCCAGGGCAGUUGUGAGCACAGAGACACGCAAUGCAGCCACCGCCCAGCGCGCGCUCCAGACUUAGUGCAUCCUACACCUAACCUCUGUCGAGCUAAUGUGAUCAUCCGUCAUGAUGGAAAUCUGCAAGUGCAGGCUGGGGGUUCGGAACAGGGGAUUGUACCAUGCGCUAAAGGGAUCGAGGAAGGCCGCUGAAUAUAGUAGCCAAAGCAGUAUACCCAGGGCCUGCCUCAGUUGCAUCCUCCCAUUCAGCUAUUCCUCUGGCCGGUGAAAAGCCUGGGCAGACAGAUGGGAAGCCAUCAGAGCUUGGUCCAAACUCACACUUGUCUCGGCUCAUGCGGUCAGAGCUGCAGAAAGUGGGAGAAGCCAUUCUCUGAAUGGCAGUCAUUCACUGAGCGCUCCUGACUGGCAGCUCUGAGACCAGGUGUGGUUUCCCCACAGCAGACUCCCCCCCAGCUCACAGUGAUGGUACCCCUCGGAUAUGACAGUAUUUUCCAUCAGCAGAGAGGAACUGCCGCGACUCACACAGUCACACUUGCCCUCUGAAGCAGUGGAGCAAUUUAAAAGGUGCCCAGUGGGGCAUGAAGUCUAAAGAGGAAAUGCUGAAACUCUGGGGAGAAUUUAGGUAGGUGGAGUGUGAUUCCUGAAGUUGAAAUCUGUCCAGACCACUGAGUUAACCACUAAUGCUAUAAAAAGAGAAUGCUGUGGGCUCAUUAAAUUACUUCAUUCUACCUGAACCUAUUAAUAUCGUCUAAAUCAUUAAAAAAAUCCUGUGUACCAUUAAACAUGAAUGAUGAAACUGGCCCUGAGCAGAUGGCUGCCUUAAUGGAGCACUAGUCCAAACCACAAUAGUCCUCUAGAGCCGAGGUGGCUGUUUUUAGCCACUGUGAUUGACACGAGCACGUGUCAUCAAAUUCACAUGGGGUGUGGGGUUUUGGGGCAACGUAACAGAAAAUUGUCCUGCAUAUAUUCAUUAGAAAUUAAUCCUGAAAUAUGCAUGAUGAAACUGAGACAGCAAAUGAUUUAGAAAGAGCCAGAGGUAUGUCAGCAAUGUCCCUGAUGGCCUUUCCAUAGAGGAAGAGAUAAGGCAACAGCUGAUAGAGGUAGCACACCGAGAGAGAUCCCUUGCUUGAAGCAGGCUCCCGUCUGGCCCUUGGAAGGCAGUAGCACUAGUUGCCCUGCCCGAUACUCAAGACAUUUUCCCCAAGCUCAAGUGGCGAAUAGGGUUCAUCUCAUACCACUCUGGAACUGGAAAACUGGAAAUACGUUUACGUGUGUGAUGUGCCCAGCGUGUGUAUGAGGAGUGUGGACAAGCUCCGAGCGGCCACAUCUUGGGCAUGUUUAGUUUCUGUCCUGUACUGAGAAAAUGGCAAAGGCUUGAUGGCAGAAGAAAGCCUUCCCACCUCACCAGAUUGUGCGGGAUGGCACUGCUACUGCCCCCUACCAGCUCACAAAGGGAAACACCCAGUAAUACACUGAUCUGGAAGAAAUUUGGAGCGGGCUUGCUUAAGCAUAGCCGUGCCGCCGCUGCAAUUCAAGUCUGCUGCUUGCCUCAGAUCCGUGGCCAGGGUAGGGUGCCCAAUAAAGGCCAGACUACUGUAUCACCAGGCCAGGAUUCACGGCUGGGUAAAAGAAUGACUGACUGACAUAGGUAAAUCGUACGGUUAGGGAGCAACUGUAGGCAGAUGAGGUUUCCCAAGUGCCAGUUUGGAAAGAAAUCCGUAUCAGUUCCUAAGUAUAUGAUUUCAAAGGCUUCAACUGUUUGUCUGGUUGUUAGCUUUUAGUAAGAAGUACCCAUGAGCCCCAAAUCCUCUGAUGAGGCCGGUUAAAGAAAGAAACCACAAAUGGUAACUCAGUUUUAACAUUUUAUUGGGUAAAUGAUUUUAAAGGUAAUAAUAACAAUAGUGUCAGAACUACUACAAUAUCUUUCCACAGCCAUACCUUACAGACCCACAUAAACCUUCCCAUUUUUCUUUUUCUUCAUUUGUAAUAUUAUUUUAAAGCCAUACAUGUCAUAUAAAAUGCCCAUUUCCAAUAGUUUCUUCAAACUAUUAAGCAAUUAAAUGUGGAAGGAAGGAGGAUCUAGUUAUACUGGAAGGGGUUUCAGGUAAUCUGUGAUGUCUUACUGUAAUCAAAAAACAGGGUGCUAAGAAAGGGACGAGGAGAAGAGCUACUCCAGGUAGCUUUGCUCAUUACAAGUCUCAACCACUGCAUCACCAAGAAUUCAUUAUGCUGGUGACCGAUUCAAAGUAAUUUUGGGGAACAUAUAAAACACAAAAAUAACUUAGAAACUAGAUCCAAAUAUUUCAAAAGUAAUCAACUUUCAUAUACAAAAACAGUCAGAGGUGGUUACAAAAGUUUGUUUUCUCAGUGCGUCUAUGUACCAGCGCAGUUACUGGGUCCAGAGCAAAAUAAAAGGUUUAUUUUCUUCUGAAACAGUAAUAAAAAACAAGGAAAACAUAUCUUUCUUUGUAUAUAAAGGAUCAAUGCUGGUCUUAAGAAUAACGUAAUCAGAAACCCUUAAAUCGAGAGGCACACAACGGGUUUCUGCUUUUAUAAAAUAAAAGGAAAGUCACCAGUUUAUUUAAAUGGAGGAGGUGCUCACACCCCUCAAAUAAACUUAAUUCAAUUUAACAUCACUAGCAAAAAUCACUUAGAAACUGUACAAAAAUAAAAAAGUUAACACAUUUAAUCCUGCAAGGUUUUUGUAAGGACUGGAAGGCAGGCUUUUGGAGCAGCAUUUGGGCAUGGCUGGGGGCUUCUUUGGUUUGAUCUAACACACACAAGAGAUGGAGCCUAUUCCAGAUGACAGUUUCGGAUUUCCUGCACAUUUGAAGGCAUGAACAGAGGCCAGUAUACAAACUUCCGGUGUGCUGCACACUGGGGCUGUAUGCUCUGGACUGAAACUCUUAUAACUGCCUUAAGUGGGGCGGGGGUGGGGGGUGGGUAAAGAGCAAGCCUUGCACUUCCUCCAUCAAUCACACCGGAGACUGGAGCGGGCAGGGCAGUAGCACAUAUUCUCGUGCAGUCAGAAGGCCACUUAAUGGGGGGGGGGGGGGGGGGGGGCAAUUGUUCUUCUAGAAUCUGGUACCUGGCUGACCUUUUCUAAGAACAAAAAAACCCUUCCAGAAAUGGAAGCCUUUUGCUACAUACCAAAGUAAAAUACGUACUAUUUUCCAAGAGGAAAAAAAUACCCAGUUGCAUCUGAAAACGGAAAACAUAAAUGGAACUAAUUAACAUUUAAAAGGGGGGCUAUGUAAACUUUGUGCUACUCAAAUGAAGUUCAAGUAUUACUUCUGAGCUGUUUAGAGAUCACUGAACUUACACAAUAUUCUGGUGACAAGAGUGCAAUUCACAUUUGUGUUUCUGCACAAAUAAACCACAACUGGCUAGAACACAACCUGUGCAGUCAGAAUCUUCGUCUGAGUUAAAAACACAUGCUACAUAUUUCAACAUGUUCAAAGUUAAUUCAAACUACAUAUUUAACAGCUUUGUAAUAUACGACAAAGGUGAAAGGGUCUAGCGUUUGUUUGAAGCACACCAUUACAAGUUUGUAUAACACCCUUUACACUACAAAGUCUUUUAGUCAACAGCUACUUAGACACAAAAAUGCACUGUGCGUUAAUUUGAACACAAAAGGAGACAAAACUAUCCUUUUCCCCCAAGCCACGGUGGGAAAUAUUGCUGACCUCGUCCUCUGAAGCCUGCAGGAUGGUUAUUUCUUCAGUAUAACAUUAUUACACUGGUAAGAAAAUCUGUAUAACAUCUGCAUAUAUCAAGAAUUUUUAAAAAUCUGAUAUGAUUUUAGAGUCCGCAUGACCAGUCACGUGACCUGCUCAAAAUUGAUUAGCACCGUUAAAUACAUAAACACACACAUAUGUAUGUACUGUAAGUAUACACACACACGUAUGGGAUAGAUCUUUUCUUUAAAAACAAAAAAACUUCUAACCAUGAGCUCACCCAGGACGAGGAGCCUGUUGAACUGAUGAGAUGAUAGAUAAGAUGGAUCAAUAUUGGUCUAUUUUGUCUCUCUUCGGUUUGCUUGCUUUAUUUACUUUUUUUUUUUUUUUUUCUUGCAGCAGACAAUAUCAUUCAGCUUGUGCUCAGUUUCCCUAUAAGGGCAAGAAAAAAUUUCCAUCAGGUAGCCACUUGUUUUUAUACUGCAAGACUAAAAUCUGCUCCAAAAUGCUCCCAAGUAGAAAUGAAAGGACUCAAAAUCCCUUUCUAAGGCCCAGCAGCUAGCUUUCUCUGACUAAUCUCUAGGUUCGGUGGAACUGGCUACCGAGAUUCCAUUUCAGGCUAACAAUUGGCUUCUUGGUUAAGGCAUCACGACUGAAAAUGGUUAUUCCAACAACAGAUGCUGCGGACGAAGGAAUACCAACAAACUUCUGAGAACUCUCAUCAAAAACAAAAGCAGUUUGCUUCGCCAUAAGGAAAAGCAGAAGGAAUUCAGCCGAUUAAUCUCACAAACUAGAAAAGGGUUUUCAAAUUCUGAACUAGCAGUCUGUCACUUGUCACAGCAACUACAUGUAUGAGCUAUGCCAUCUUGAUAUUCAGUGACAUCUCAUAGUUUUAGACUAUAUAUUCUGAACCACACUUAUAUUCGUCACUUGAAAUAUUUGUUUCCUGUUUGAAAAAAAUUUUACACACACACACACACACACACACACACACACACACACAUAUAUAUUUACUACCAUAAAAUGAAGGUAAUCUUUCUCCAGAAUCAUCUGUCAUUUUUCCUGGGGAUAUACAUAUAGACCUCCCGUUGACAUUAGGAAGUUCUUCUCUGCAUAUGCAUCAUGGGAAGACUAGCCCUGCAAAUGAGCUGGGCUCUAACAACUAUAUCGUAUCUAAGUGCCAACUCCGUUUUUACAGGGGUAACAUAACAUCUUAUCGAUAUAGUAGAUGUGUUUCUAUCAAAAGUAUGUAGUGCAGAAAGAGAUUCAAGCAAUUUUAUAGUAUUUCUAAAACUCCAGUAUCGUCCCCAUGACAAACAUGUCUGAAAUCACGACAUGUAUUAACUUUUGUUUCACUAGAUUAUCUUUACUAUUUCUUUAAAUGGUAGCUAAAACUGUCUCUGGCCAAUCAUGAUUAUUGAAACCUAAAGCUAACAAAUUUAAAUUAAUAUAUAAUAGACACAUGUCUCUUUUUGGUUAUUUGCUCAAAAUAAGUCUUUUUCAGCUUAAAAAAAUACUUAAGAGUAAGCAAUUUGUCUAAUCUGUUGUUUCACAUAAUCGAAACAAUAAAAUUUUUAAGAAUAUUUCUCUAAAUUGCCUUUCUUCUAACCCCUCUUAAUUCCACAUAAUUAUAUUCUUCUCAAAGGCACUAAAUUCUGUAUCUGCUCUCUUCCUGAUAUUCGCUGCUUUUCAAAAUAAUUUCUGUAGCAUAUUUCAAAGGUAGCUUGUACUUUCUUAAAACAGUGUUUUAGUUUGUAAGUUGGUUCUAUAAAGUGAUGAGGCAGUUUUUCCUGUGAUAACCAGCACAAUAGGCAUAAAUGAUUUCUCACUCUCUGUGACAAGUCCCAUCAUGGACCUUCGAAUGUUCUACACUAGAACGAAAGUUCGUCUAUUCUAACCAUGGGAAAAACAUAUACUUAAACAGUGAAGACCCACAUACUAAGCUCUCAUAGCAAAAUGAAUUUCAGACAAAUUCAAGAGUAAUAUACAAAUACCUGAAUUUGAUAUGAAUUACUCCCAAACACAGCUAUCAAAAAUUACCUAUCUUACUGAGGAAAAUGAAAGAAACACCUAAAUGAAAUCCUUAGAAACUGCAUGAAUUCUUCCAUCCACAGUCAACAGAAGGAAGGAAGAGAAGAAAGAAGGAAGGAAAGAAGACAGGAAGGAGGGCAAGAAGGACAGAAAGACAAACCUGACUGAGACAGCAAAGCAAAAUUCCAUAUAAUAUUGUAAGGAAAGAGAACCCCAAAAUUCAUAUAUGCUGCAAAAAAAAAAAAAAUCAAUGACCUAAUAUAAUAAAACAGGAUCAUCUUAAUAAAUGCCAUUUUCCUACCCGUUACCAUGAUGAUCUUAACUGACGAUGUCGAAGCUUCACCAUGGCAACGGAAACUAUCAUCAUAAAAUGGUACAGUAAAAGAGAUAGCUAGACCAAGAAGGGGUAGGGUCUCCUGGGAAGAGGUCUGCAGAGAGGCCCAGUGACUGGUUGUGUGGCUCAGUGUCAGGAAUAAUGGUUGUAUGGCGGAAGGGGAUGCCCAAUGCCAUUUUGGAAAUGAUGAUGCUGGCGAUGAGCAAGGUAUUCAGCAUAGCUCAAGGUCAUCUUUUCACUACGGUACCUGAAAGAAAGUUAGGGAAGAGACAAAGUUAACAUCACGAAAUAGGUGACAUGUGAAUGUCAGAGCUAGGAGGGACCCUUAGAGAUAAUUUUCUAGAUGAGGAAACAGAGGCCUAGAGAGAAGAAGUGACUUGCCCACUGUCACACAGCUAAUAAGCAGCAAAGCUGAGAUCAGAACCCAGGAAUCCAGAGUCUGAGUCCGGUGCUCUUUGCACUCUACCACUCCUUGUUUAAAUUGUUCUAGAAAUUGUAUUGCCCUCCUCAGCUCCGGUUUGCUAACAGGAAAGAACGGAGGAAAGCCAGCCUAUUACUGUCAUGCAUGCAUUUCAUUCACUUGACUACUUUUUCUUCCGGGAUCUUCCGUUGCUUCCUCUUUAACCAUUCCUUUCCUUCUGUCCACGUGUCUCAGGUCUUGCCGUUAAGGGAAAACAGUAGCAACAAAAAACUCGUCUUGAUCGUGGUAUCUCAAUCCUCUUUCCCCCCAUCUUCAGGUUUCUUUUCAUUGGCACACUUCUCAGAAGAGUAACGUGUAUUUUCUACCUCAUCUCACACCGCUCCUCGGCCCUGUGCCUCUUGGCUUCUACUGCCACGCUUCCGCAGAAACUGCUCUUUCAGAAGCCACCCCUCAUCAUGCCUGGCCUCUCCAUUAGGAUACCGCGCAGCGCUCCCUUUUGGAAGCUCUUUUGUGCCUUGUGUUCCACAACUCCAUACUCCCUUGGUUCUCCCCCUGCCUCUCGGACUGCUCCCUAUCUCUCUGACUACUCAUCCUACCCUCGCCUUGUAGGAGUUGCCUACAUUUCUACCUUCAGUUCUUCUGCCCCUACGCUCUGUCCCAGCUCAGUGAACUCUUGCCUCACAGCUUCAACUAUGUCCUCUUUACAGAUGAUCCCAAAUCACCAUCUCUAGCCAUGAGCUCUACACACGUACAUUUUCAGUGACCUAUUGGACGUUUCUAUACAGAUAGCCUAGGAAGCACUUCAAAUCCAGAAUCAAUACGUUAACGUAACUCUCCCCAACGUGGUCCCUCUCUUGGUGAAAGGGACUGCCUUGGUCCCUUUUAUUGAGAUGAAAGCCUUGACUGGCUCCUCUUCCCUACUUCCGAAUGAUGACUAAGUCCUUUCAUUUUCCCCACAAUAUUUUUUUUCCUUCCUUUCUUCCCAUCCCACUGCCACAGCUCGUGUUAAGGCUCCCAUUUCACCUUCUUUGGAUUGCUGCCACAGAUUCUUAGAUAAUAACAGUGUCUCCUAAUUAUUUUUCCUGUUUCCAAUUCUAAUCUUACACUUCCCCAAAUCCAUCUGUUCAGAACCCUUCAAUGGCUACCAAUUGACUAUAGCAUCAGGUUUAAACUUCUUACGCUCUACCUUCUGGGCCAUAUUUUCCCCAGUGACCACCUUCUCUAUGUACACUGAGAGACCAACCAAAUCAGACAUUGAGAAGAUUCCUUAGAACUUGCCCCAUACUUCGCCACCUACAUGCCUUGACUCACCAAGUUCUGUUUAAGUUAAUCCCUUUGCUCCCCCACUCUCCACCUGUCAAAUAUUCUACUCAUUCUUCAAGCCCAGCCUCACAUCUACCUCCUCUUUGAAAUUUUCUGUUACCCUCAACCCCCUCCUGGAAUUCCUCUUUCCCUACUCUAUGAUCUCAUAUCAUCUAUCCCAUUCUGCUGUAUAUUAAUAAUUAUUUUUGUACAUGCCCUUCUAUUCUCCUAGAAUAUGAACUCAGAGAGAGCAGCAAUGCAGGCAUUUUCAAAUUUGUAACUCCUCAGAGCUGAGAAUAGUCCAUUUUUAGACUACAGGCAUUCACUGUGGUUUUGUGGAAUUAAAAGAAAUGGAAACAGCAACUCAUUUUCCCAAAACGUUUGAUAUUUUCCUUUUUAAAUAAGUACCCCUAUGAGCCCGUGCAGAAAUACAUUUAGCAUUUGUCAGUUGUGCUUUUCAGCAAGCUUUCUAUCACUGCCAAAAUUCUAAGGUGAAAUUCAAAUUUGAGGACUGCUUAUCAGGAUCCUGGGGUUCUGCUAAGCAAUGUCAAAAGCUGGCCAAUUUCUAAUUCAGGCAACUUUCUUCAAUAAUGUACUCUAAAGGCUCAGAGGGCUUUCUUUAACAAAGCCAGAGUAAGCCCACAGAGCUAUGAUGCGAAGGAUGGGCUCAUACAUCAUAUGGGCUUUACUGCCAAGCAGAGUUCAUUGUAUUCACCCUCAGUACAGCCCUGCCAUUCAUUUCCACUCUGUUUCAGAAAGGAGAAGCAAGUAUAGUUAGAGAGACCAAAGAAAUCAAAAGGUUACAGGUAUACGCAUCAAAAUGUACUGGUCAGCCUUGCACUAGGAAAUGCCUUCUGUACCUGGUCAGUUUUAUGGUUUUCCUGAAUUCAUUAGUAAUCGGAGCUUUGUAUCCUCCUUUCCUCAGUAAGGAGUCUAUGGUCUGAAUAUGGUCCCAUCCUGUGGAGAGCAGACCAGAUAAAAUACCAGUCAAGCACAUGUAACAAGCACUUUUGGUUAAAUACAAAAUGACUGUAGAGGUCAGCUAUCACUGUCACCGACCCCUUUGGUCCUGAAAACAGUCGCACAGAAGAGCUAAGAUUUCAUCCUGUACAGAAGCAGGGACACCACGGGACACCUUAAAUUCUAGCUAUCCCUGCUGGCUAGCAACAUUGGCUUCUUUACCUCAACUGCAUUCGAAGGCAAGGAGCCUAAGAGGCUGGCGGGCAGUAACUGCUCGGUCGUGUCUCAGUAACAAGCCACAAACAUUGUACUCUCCUCUAACGGUGACAUCUUUAAAAGGGAAGGAAAAGCCUCACUGAGCCAACUCAGUAGUACUUAGAACUCCCACACUAACUCAUGGUAAUCGCCAUUUCUAACCGUAUCUUCUGCAGGCUAUCAAGUGCAUCUGUGUGCAGCGUUCAAAGGCAUUUUUAUGGGUUCUGACACGGGAUGCACACUCAUACCCGAGGCCCUCGACCUCUUAUGUAUGUUUUACAGAGUCAGUGGAACUACAGAAUUAAGAAAUUUUCGAAAGCAACCCAAAUAAAUCUGCAGAUAGCUGCUUUAAAGACUAACGCUCUCAUUUGGGGGUUUAAUGAUAUUAAAUUUUGUAGUUAUAUAUCAUAUUUAUAUGAAACAGAUAUGGGAAAACCAAAUUACCAAUGCUUUCUGAUGAGAAGAAAAGCUCCAUGAGAUAAAGAAGAGGUAUUCAUUUCAACUAACAUGAAACUAUAAUUUAGUAGUGGCUAGAAAGGACAAGAUACUACAGAGUGAAACGUUAUUUUGUGUUACACUGGUAGUUCAUAAAGGUUUGUGCCAUAUCUGUAAAAUCGAAAAACGUUUGUUGAUUAGGAACAUAUAAAACACUAGUAGUUCAGGUAUUCUCAAUGCUCCUUUUCUUCAUGGGACACUUACAAUCUUAAUAAUAGCAGAAGGAGUAAUGGCAACCACCUAAGAAGGAAACAUUCGAUACUGACAAUGAACGGUGUGGCUGAUCGUCAAACUAAAGGCUUGUUUAUGCCACAAGGCUACAGCCCAGUGGAAUAUGGGAAAAUGGCACUUAAAAUUCAUAGCAAACCAUUGCCUAAAAUAAAGCCCAACUUUUACGAAUCUAUGCUUUUUUUGAAAGUAUACUUUUAUAUGUUUUUGCCGCCAAACUUCAGUGCAGAGAUUCAACUUCUGUGUAAUUCACCGAUUUCAUACAGACAUUGCAGUGGCAGCGAUGGAAGAGUCAUUUCUUAUGAUCUAACAGCGAUCAAUUACCAGAUAUAACUGCAAGGUCAGAUAGCGCAUUUCAAUAUGUAUUAUUUGUUUAAAUUCUUCACUAGGUCAUAUGAAAUAAAGUACAACAGUGACCUUGCUCCUUUGCAACCUCCGGUAGGUAGGUGGCGGUGCGUUUUGAUCCUUUUUCGUUGAUGAAUUCUAUUCUAAUGCCAUGUACACCCACCUGAAAGAAAUCGGCAGUUUUAUUAGUACAGUCUUCUUCACAGAAACAGAAAGAAAAAGUUAUAAUUUAACUUUCAGAGAAUGCAGCUCUUCCCUUCCCCUUGCUUUUGGAAGGGCAUAUCUGUUUUCUCUUUCCGAAACACUGACUUUGAGGAUUGAAGGCCAUUAUGAUGGCCAUGGAGACUUGAAAACACUGAUUUUUGCAUGUGCCCAGCAUGCACCGGGCUAUGCCAUUCUGUUUGGAACCAGGACCACCAUUCUGGGGCUGUGUGUAGAAUAAGACAAUCGAUGAUGGCAAGAGUCCUGCCCCCACCCCCAAAUUGUGGCUCACGACAAUAAGGAACUAGACCAAGGGAACCGACUUCAGAGAGAUAGCAAGCAACCAUCCUGCUUUCAGGGAUAAUCACCAUUUCAGAUUGAGUUUCAAAACUUCUGGGACUGCUGACUCUCUUCCCAAACUGUCUAGUCUCUUUGAAACCUUGAGUUAUAUGUAGAUAAACAAACACAGAUAAGACUGAAAAAAAUCUAGCGAUCAGAUCCUGCAUCGUCACCCAUUACGGCAUUUCUAAAAAAAUGUAUUAUGGCUUAAAGUGCGCAGGUGGCAAACCCUCACUGUAUAUCUAUCUACAACACUGCUGCCAAAUCCGAGAGCAAUAAAGAUUUCAAAUGACUCUGGGGCAGGGCAUUUUUACACAGUUUCUUAUAUACUAACCCAGAGACCACUAUAACUUUAUUAUGUGAAAGACAAACUUUUGAUGGUGCCCUGAAAAAGGUGGUCUCCUAAGUGUGGGCAAUUUCUUGCUAAUGUUUUAAGAAAGUAAUCUACUUUUUCUUUGAUUAGCAUUCAAUCACAAGGAAUCUGUCCUUUCCCGUCAUGUCUCACACAGAAUAGUGUAUAGUGCUAAAGAUCACAAAAAGUUCUUAUCUUCUUUAUAUACACUGAUAACAAAAAUGACAUUUCAAAAGUGUAACAACUCCAUUCUGCUCUCCCAAAUCUAUGGUUGCUUUAGAUCAAGGGUUCCCAGGUGGAGUUUAAGGUUGUCCAAGGUCCAGGAGGGUAAACAUUUUUACCAGAGAAAGGGGCUUCUUUUCAGAGCAGGUGGCUACAUCCAUUCAUCUGUAUGGAGGUAAUAAAGGUCUAGAAGAGGAAAAGGGGUCCAUGAAAACUUCUUUUGUUUCUUCUGCGCUUAGCCUGAAAUUUCCCAGUUUUUCAGGGAAUAAGAAGUCCUCUGGAAAAUCCAUUUUAUUUUUUCCCCAGGUCUUCACACAUCCAUCCAUUAGAGUCUGUCAGAUCUUAUGAGCAGUUGAUGUUUUUUUUAUUAAAGCCUAUCUCUGUGGCUAUUUCUUCUACCUAAUAUCAGUAUUCUUAUGAAUAUCCUUCUGCUGAAAAUGCAAUCAGGGCAGCUGUUUAAAAACUAACACAGUAAGGCCUCUCAUACCCUGUGGGAAAUGACUAUGGACAGCUGAGAAGAAAUAUGAGUGCUUAGCUAUCAGGCAUUUCCAGGAUAAAGGACAUCUACUAAUCUCCCUAGUGCCUGACACGUUACGGAGACAAUGACAAAUUUGCAACAGUUUCUGUAUACUGACUUUCUGAUCAGUGACUUUGAAAUUUUUUCCUUCAACAAUAUUAGAUCCUUCAUAAUUUGUUUUUAAAAACAUACGGCAUAAAUAAUUUAUGCUCCCAUCAUUCACUGAGGUGAAUUCUGCAAAUUCAACUCAAUGUAUCAAAAAUCUGUCAUGUUAAAAUUGAAAAGAGUUUUGGUGUUUAUUAAGGUGUCUCAUCUAAACUGUGAGAGGAAGACUGUUUCCCUAUCUGUGAGAUGAGAAUGUUAGACUCAAUCAGUGCUGUUUAAUUGGUAUGGGGUCGGGGUGCGGGCUGCGAAGGGUAUCAGAAUUUCAGGUUUCCUACUUCAGCAAGUACAGUUUGUAAAAAGAAUAACUCCCCAGGUGAUCUUUAUUCCGGGUUAACUAGAUAACCUCUAAUAUCAGUCGAGCUCCGACAAACUGUGGCUAAGUAUUGGGGGAAAAAAAGUGAUUCAGGCAAAUUGGAGGUGAUUUAGACAUAAAUCCUUUCUUCAUAGGAGUACAUUCUGUGCUAUUCAACAAAAAUGACAGAGACUUUGAAGCCUAGUAAUUUAAAAAUGAAAAGAGGUAAGACCAAUUGCAUGGUAUGCAAAUAAUAUCUUAAUAAAGAUAUAUGCAUAUGAAGAGGUUAAGACCAAACUGGAAGGACAUGUUGACCAAAAUAAAAAUUACUCAUGGAUAAAACUGAUUUACUGUUGUAUUUUGAGAAGGCCCCACCAUCAAAUCUGACAUGAAAAAAAUUACCCAAAUUCCCCCAUUUUGAAUUAGUACCACAUUUACAAUUUUUAAUUCUUUUCUGUGUUCCUACGAUUCUGAACAAUCGAAAGCCCCUGUAAAUUGCACUGUAGGUAUGGCGAUAUCCAAGUGAUUCCUUUGUGAGAAAUAACUUAUUUCUUAGGUCAAAAAUAUACUCCACAGAGAUAUAAAGCCAAAGCCAGAGUGACUCAUUUUUUUUUCAACUAGUGGAAUCAGGAGAAUGGUAAUAACGUUCUGAACAGAAUCAAAGUAUAAUAUAGCCUUUUGUCACCUGUUGAGCAACAGCAUCUCGCUCCCAGAACCACAGACGCCACCAAGUAGUCAUACUGCGCAAUCAAAACAGGGGAGUGGAAAAUGGCCUGCUGUGGAGACUGACCCAAUCUGGCCAACUUGUGGUAAUCACUGGCUUUGCAAAUUAAGUCAUCUCCACUGAAAUGAGCACCAAAACUAAUUCUGUACUGUUGGAGGGAGGCAUCUGUCACAGCUGCAACUCCAAAAUGGAACCCUCGUGUAUAAUAAUUGAAUCCUCCCUUCAACAGACUGGAGAAUCCUUCAGGCCAGCAGCAUCCCAAGAGACAAAGGCUCUAGCUGCAAUGAUCAGCUAGAUAAGAGGUCAGCUAACCAGGGGUCUGGGAUUCCUUGAGGCAAACUUGCUAGAAAACUCUAUCGCAGUAACUUUCCAUUUCUCAGGAUGGAUAAGGAGUUAGCAUAUGGGAAAACUAUGUCACCAAACACCCCUAGCCACCACUGCCCAAAGUACAGCCAGGUGAGCAAAAGCUGGAGACGCGCAAAUCUAGCCUUAUCGGAGUCUUCAGGUCAUUUUCAAAAUUAUUAGAAGGUCUGGAGAGAAAAAUGCUUUCAAGGUCCAUCAGCUGUGAUAAUGUCCUUUUAAUCAAGACUGUACUUUUGCUAAGCAAAGCUAUAAAUCAACUCGAAUGGUAGCAAAUUAAAUGUAGGACUGAUAGAUAAGAGGAUAUGGAAUUAAACAGAACUGUAUCUGUGUGUGCUGUGAGCGAACAUUAAGAGCAGUUCAACAGAUUCCUAUUUCAUGUUAAAAAGAAAGCCAUGUUUAUUCCGAACCUUUCCAAAGCAAGUGAUUUUUAUUAAUGCUAUUAUACAAUCUUUUGUUUUUAACAUCACCCAGAAUGAUUAAAUAUCAAGAUUAAUGUUAGGGCCCUAAGAUAUAUCUUGAUUAUUCUGGAGUUGAUUAUUCAGUGUGGGGAUUAUGCAUCCCCAACUCCCCCUGGCCUCGGCCUCAUCCUCUUUCCUCUCUUGUCCAUCUCUCUAUUUGUUCACUGCUCUAUCAGAGAGCACGUGGGCACAGGGAAAAGAGAUACACGCAAAUUAAUCAAUUUUGCUACAUAGUAAAAAGGUUUGGUAGGAGAAGAGAUUAUAAAUAAUGGCUAAAAUGAAGCUUCUAGACUGUCUGCAGAUUUCAUUUAUCCUUGUUAUCUGGUCCCUUGUUAGAAAUGUGGCUUCAUUUAAAACUAUUACCCCCUAAUGCAGUGACUCUCAACGCAGGAACAUUAAAAAUAAGUGCCCUCUCCCUCCUCAUUAUAAUACAUAGUCCAUAUUAUGCUCUGCUCAAUUGCACAAAGUUUAGAACACCCUAGCCUGUCUAUAAGGCAAGUGUUAGUGCUAUAAUUCACUAGCCGCACUACAAAAGGGUCUCGCUUUUACUUGUGAGCCUAAUCAGCAAGCCAACAAUCUGGAUACGCUGAAACAUGAAAAAGUCAUCUGGCUAAAAGCAUCAGUGAGCAUAAAAUGUGCUCUGGUGAAGUGGAGUAGGCUCCACGCAAGCCUUGGACCAUUUGGGUCCCCAAUUACCUACACGGUCCUGACCCUCAAAGCUAAAUCUGCCCCUGAUCACAUCCUGGCCAAUAAAACCAAUUUACUUCCUCAGGUUCAUCCUGUUUUAGCAAUGUCACAGUUAGUCCCACUCGUCCCCAUUUUCAGAACCAAAUGUUGGGUUUCCCUGUAACGCUAUAGCCAUAGCUCACUCCACUGAUUUUCAGUGGGUUCACCUUGAAUAAAAUAAAAAAUAUCAGGAGGUCAAAGAAUCAAACGUUUGUCUGACAUGGCUUUGUUGCUGAUAUCAUUUGGCAAAAUAGGCUUUGCAAUUAACACAGCAGCCAGUCGCUGGUCAUUCAUGUAAGACUGACCUGCCAGGCUCAGUAUGCCAGUUCCAUUGAAUUGAAUGGAAGGACUCUGUUUCUAAGGAGAGGGCACCCCCUAACUUCUAGAGGCUGGCAUCAUAGGAGACACACAUGCUCUCUCUCACAAAACAGCCUGUGGUACCACGGUCAGAAACAAACACUGCAUUGGACAACCCAUGGGUCUGACCCAGAGUCUGGUGUUUCUAAUAUUUGUAGGAGGACAAAGCCACAAGUGAUAUUUUUGCCUGAAAGCACAAAACCCAUAACGCAGCACCUUCAACUCAUUCACUCAUAGCCCCACGGUACCUUUUGCCCCAUCCCCAGCUCAGCCUUCUGCAGACUGACUCUUCCUCUUCCCAAUGAAAGCAAAUUCCACAUGAAAGAAGAAAAUACUCCAAACUUGGGUCUCCACCAAGAAUAGUUCUUAUUUGAGCAAGUAAAAUUAGCAUUUUCAUCAUAAAGGCUGAUGACAAUUUGCACAGAUCCUAAUGAAACACUUCCCCCAAUCCUGAUAAUGUCGACCACACAAAAAUAAUGUCGACUACGUAUUGAUUGUCCAGAUCUGCCCAUCAAAUCCUCAAAGUUGUGAUUCCUCAUCGCUUUAAGCCACCCAUCAACUUCAGAAGUAAGUCUGAAGUUUUGAAAGUGUCCAUCUGAUUAACAAUUAACACUUAACAAUUAACAAUGGUUAACAAUUAACACUUCAGAAUCUGGCCAAAUAAUAAAUUUUAAAAACAGUGUUGCUGCAAUUCAGGGUUUUUUCCUCAGUAAUUUUUACUUUUGUAAACCUUAAAAAUUAUAAACAUGGAUUUUUUUUUUGUUUAUAAAAAUAGUACGUGCAUAUUACCAAAAAAAAAAAAAUCCCUUUUGAAAAGUA